rfam:Camelus ferus unplaced genomic scaffold scaffold951, whole genome shotgun sequence.
AGGGGUAUAGCUCAAGUGGAAGAGUGCGUGCUUAGUAUGCACAAGGUCCUGGGUUCAAUCCCCAGUACCUCCA